GCUCAGGAUGAACGCUGGCGGCGUGCUUAACACAUGCAAGUCGAACGGGAAAUACUUUAUUGAAACUUUGGUGGAUUUAAUUUAUUUCUAGUGGCGGACGGGUGAGUAACGCGUGGGUAACCUGCCUUAUACUGGGGGAUAACAGCCUGAAAUGACUGCUAAUACCGCAUAAGCGCACAGAACCGCAUGGUUCCGUGUGAAAAACUCCGGUGGUAUAAGAUGGACCCGCGUUGGAUUAGCUAGUUGGCAGGGCAGCGGCCUACCAAGGCGACGAUCCAUAGCCGGCCUGAGAGGGUGAACGGCCACAUUGGGACUGAGACACGGCCCAGACUCCUACGGGAGGCAGCAGUA
rnacentral:rRNA from 1 species